CCACCUCCCCCAGGCCAGGCCCUGGGCUGACCCCUUUAUGCAAACCCCCUCAGGGCUCCCUGCUCAAGUAGCCACCCCAGGGCACUUAGCACCAUUGCCCCCAGGAGCUGAGCUUUCCUCCUGUGCUCUUGGUUCCCCCCUCCAGCACCAUGACUGCCUUCCUCUGCCCCCUGCUCCUCUUGGUCCUGGCUCCAGGUGUGCAGUCCCAGCUCCAGCUCCAGGAGUCUGGCCCAGGGGUGGUGAAGCCGGGGGAGACCCUCAGCCUGACCUGCACCGUCACUGGUGGCACCUUCAGCAGCAGUGGUUGGUGGAACUGGAUCCGCCAAGCUCCGGGCAAAGGCCUGGAGUGGAUGGGAAUGUGGGAUGGCAGCACACGCUACAAUGCAGCCUUCCAGGGCAGAAUCACCAUCUCUGGGGACUUCUCCAGCAGGAAGUACCACCUGCAGCUCAGCUCCCUGACAUCUGCAGACACUGCCAUGUACUACUGUGCAGGACACAGUGACACAGAGCAAGGCAGGGGCUGCACAAAAAGGGGAAGCAGAUUCCCCAGCAGCUGCUGUGGAAGACACCGAACAGGGCUUGCAUGUUUAAGGGAGGGCCGAGGGGAAAGAUGAUCCCAGUUCCCUCCAGCUCAGGCCCAUGCAGAUCUGCUCUUCAGGGAUGGAGACCCCCAGAGUGCUCAGCUGUCCCCGAGCUCCCUGCAGCAUCGAGGUUGCAUCGCUGUGAAGGGGACACAGCUCUGACUUA